CAUGUAAACAAACUAGGGUGAGUUCAAGGACCGCCAAAAUUAGUAGGACAAAACAGCGCUCGCCAAAUACUCGAAUCAGUGAAGCAGGUUUAAUAUAAACAGUGGGAUUUAUGACAAUUAGGGAGGUUUGUGUCAUGUUUGUCUUCCUACAGAAACCAUAUUAAAACAAAAAAUAUAUUUUUUUCCCCUCAUCUUUUUCCAUUUUUCAUACAUCUUUGAAAAAGCUCCAGGGAGCCACUAGGGCGGCGCUAAAAAGCCGCAUGCGGCUCUAGAGCCGCGGGUUGCCGACCCCUGAGCUAGGCUAACAAGCUGAGCAAAUUCAGCGCCCUCGGAAGCGGAAGGAGUGACACUUGCUGCGACCGCUGUGUUGCCGCAUUUGAAAGACGAGGUCUUGUGUUGGACACUUCCAAAACAAAAGUUCCACUCUGCUCGGAGCCAGCAAAGGGUCCUUCCACUGGACCGCGACGUUGACUGGAGAUGUGACGUCUCCAACCCCUGGCGAAGCAGACAGACAACAUCCACAGACUCGAAACGGGACGCAGAUUUAAGCCAAAGAGGGAAGCUGGCAGAAAGACGACCCAACAGUCAAAGAAGGACCACGGACACGGCGGGCCUGUGCUCAGUGGAACUCUGAGAUCCACUUGCUUUGCAUCCGCGAGCACGACUUCAUGACCUUCACCUGCCAACACAACGACACACAAAAGGUAGAUCAAAUCAGUCUUUAGUUGUCGUACAUGGUUCACUAGACAUUGCCAGGCUGGAUAACUGGUGUCAAAAUAAGCGGUUGUCGACAUAAGCAAAACUAAGAAGCAAUCAGGUAAUCCGUGUGUGCAGCUGCUGUUAAUGUUGCCUAAUGUUGCACACUGAUUAGCAAAAACAAAGUUUGGUCAUUAAUAGAUGAACUAAACACUACAGUAACAAUAGGAAGCGCUGCUUCGUGCAGACGAGGGACGGGGGCACAGUGGGCGGGGCAGCGACAAGCCUGAGAUCUCCAUGUAAUAUCAAUAUUCUGCAGAACGACAACUUUUAAAAUAGAGCAAGUGCAACAGAGAUGCAACAAACGCGGCAAAAAGUAAAGGCAAAAGGAUAAAAAAAUAUCCACUUAUUUGAUACAAUGUCACUGUUCUGCA